AACGAACGCUGGCGGCGUGCCUAACACAUGCAAGUCGAGCGCGAAUAGGGGCAACCCUUAGUAGAGCGGCGCACGGGUGCGUAACACGUGGAUAAUCUGCCUGAGUGCUCGGGAUAACCAGUCGAAAGAUUGGCUAAUACCGGAUAAGCCCACGGUUUCUUCGGAGACUGAGGGAAAAGGUGGCCUCUGUAUACAAGCUAUCACAUUCAGAUGAGUCCGCGGCCCAUCAGCUAGUUGGCGGGGUAAUGGCCCACCAAGGCGACGACGGGUAGCUGGUCUGAGAGGACGAUCAGCCACACUGGAACUGAGACACGGUCCAGACUCCUACGGGAGGCAGCAGUGGGGAAUUUUGCGCAAUGGGCGAAAGCCUGACGCAGCAACGCCGCGUGUGUGAUGAAGGUCUUUGGAUUGUAAAGCACUUUCGACCGGGAAGAAAACCCGUUGGCUAACAUCCAACGGCUUGACGGUACCGGGAGAAGAAGCACCGGCUAACUCUGUGCCAGCAGCCGCCGUAAUAC
rnacentral:rRNA from 1 species